CCUCGCCCUGCUUUGGCUCGCGCACGGUGCGCACACCCACUGACCUGCGCUCACUGUCUGGCACUGCCUAGUGAGAUGAACCCGGUACCUCAGAUGGAAAUGCAGAAAUCACCGGUCUUCUGCGUCCCUCACGCUGGGAGCUGUAGACCGGAGCUGUUCUUAUUCGGCCAUCUUGGCUCCUCCCGAGAUAAUAUUUUUCAAGCAUGGAUCUCUCCUCAUGGCAGCUGUAGGAAACACAGGAACUCCGUGACCUGGAAAAUGUGGGACAACUGCCACAAGAUGGUCCAGAGAACGUUGUCU
rnacentral:lncRNA from 10 species